rnacentral:rRNA from 1 species
CUGCUGCCUCCCGUAGGAGUCUGGUCCGUGUCUCAGUACCAGUGUGGGGGGCCUUCCUCUCAGAACCCCUACGCAUCGUCGCCUCGGUGGGCCGUUACCCCGCCGACUAGCUAAUGCGCCGCAUGCCCAUCCGUGGCCGGGAUUGCUUCCUUUGGCGGCCUUGGGAUGUCCCUAGGCCGCGUUACGCGGUAUUAGACGGGGUUUCCCCCGCUUAUCCCCCUGCCACGGGCAGGUUGCAUACGUGUUACUCACCCGUGCGCCGGUCGCCGGCAACGG